GUGCUUGCUUCAACCGCACAUAUGCUAAAAUUGAAAGGAUAUCGAGAAGAUUAGCGUGGCCCCUGUGCAAGGAUGACAUACAAAUUCAUGAAGCGUUCCAUACUUUU